rnacentral:rRNA from 1 species
CCUACGGGUGGCAGCUGUGAGGAAUAUUGGUCAAUGGACGCAAGUCUGAACCAGCCAUGCCGCGUGAAGGAUGAAGGCCUUCUGGGUUGUAAACUUCUUUUAUUGGGGAAGAAAACUACGGUUUCUACUGUAGCCGACGGUACCCAAGGAAUAAGCACCGGCUAACUCCGUGCCAGCAGCCGCGGUAAUACGGAGGGUGCAAGCGUUAUCGGGAUUCAAGGGGUUGUAGGCGGAUAUUGAAGUCAGAUUUGAAAUCUCCAGGCUCAACCUGGAAACUGCCUUUGAUACUAUUUAUCUUGAGUGUUGUUGAGGUAGGCGGAAUAUAUCAUGUAGCGGUGAAAUGCAUAGAUAUGAUAUAGAACACCGAUUGCGAAGGCAGCUUACUAAGCAAACAUUGACGCUGAGGCACGAAAGCGUGGGGAUCAAACAGGAUUAGAUACCCGGGUAGUC